AGUGGCGGACGGGUGAGUAACGCGUGGGUAACCUACCUCACACAGGGGGAGUAACAGUUGGAAACGACCGCUAAUACCGCAUAACCCGCUGGUAUCGCAUGAUACUGACGGAAAAGAUUUAUCGGUGUGAGAUGGACCCGCGUCUGAUUAGCCAGUUGGCAGGGUAACGGCCUACCAAAGCGACGAUCAGUAGCCGGCCUGAGAGGGUGAACGGCCACAUUGGGACUGAGACACGGCCCAAACUCCUACGGAAGGCAGCAG
rnacentral:rRNA from 1 species